UUUCGGCCUUCUAACAUCAUCUCUGCUCAUUUUCUCCUUUUUUUGAUUUUUCCUCCCCCACAAUCGCUCAUACUGGAAGUCCACCUCUGGCGACCUCCCACCAGCCUACCCUUGGCUCACCAUGCCGGCUACUUCCUUCUCUCCUUCCCUUGUUGCCAUAAACACCCUUUUGCUUCACCACCGCUGGUCUCUUUCAACCUAGCUACCUCCCCCCUCCAUUUAUAGUCUCCUAGCCAGCCACUUACCUUUUUCUAACUGAAGGAGAUCACUCUUUUCAGAAAAAUAAUUUUAAGUCGAAGGAUUUGGCCUUAGUCCUCCCUUGAGGGAGGUUUUCUCAAGUAUUUGGUGAUCCAAUUUUCUUGUUCGCAGGUUUCCCAGAAUGGACUUGUAUGUCAUCAAUGGAUUCAACAUACCAAUUCUCUGGAUUCAGUUUGGUGGUUGACGGUCGAUAUUGUGACGUAUUUGUGAUUUUCGCUUUUGUCCGGAAUUUACUUCUUGGAAUCAAAUGUCUCCCCAAUAUGUUAAAACAAUCAUACCACUUCCUUUAUGUGUUUUCUAUGUGCAUGUUUUAGUGUCCUAAGAUUUUAAUUUCCUUUAUAAAAUUACUUAUCAAUGAUUUUACUUCAAAAUAAAAA